rnacentral:rRNA from 1 species
GUGCCAGCAGCCGCGGUAAUACGUAGGGUGCGAGCGUUAAUCGGAAUUACUGGGCGUAAAGCGUGCGCAGGCGGUUAUGUAAGACAGAUGUGAAAUCCCCGGGCUCAACCUGGGAACUGCAUUUGUGACUGCAUGGCUAGAGUACGGUAGAGGGGGAUGGAAUUCCGCGUGUAGCAGUGAAAUGCGUAGAUAUGCGGAGGAACACCGAUGGCGAAGGCAAUCCCCUGGACCUGUACUGACGCUCAUGCACGAAAGCGUGGGGAGCAAACAGGAUUAGAUACCCUUGUAGUCC